UACGAACUGCGCGAACGUUAUUCGGAAUCACUGGGCUUAAAGAGUUCGUAGGCGGCCUUUCUAGUCGGGUGUGAAAUCCCUCAGCUCAACUGAGGAAUUGCGCCCGAUACUGUCAGGCUUGAGGGGGAUAGGGGUGAGCGGAACUGAUGGUGGAGCGGUGAAAUGCGUUGAUAUCAUCAGGAACACCGGUGGCGAAGGCGGCUCACUGGAUCUCUUCUGACGCUGAGGAACGAAAGCUAGGGGAGCGAACGGG
rnacentral:rRNA from 1 species